rnacentral:lncRNA from 1 species
UAAAAAAAAUAAUCAAACCGAUAAUAGCAUUUUUGAACUACAUGUCCAAUCUUGUCACACAACUAACACUGAGGUUGAUUUUGAGAAAAGAAACCCCCACAACUCGAGCACAAUAAGAUCCUCCUCAAAAUUCUUGCUUGUAAUUUUGUCUACCACCUAUACCGCCUGCUUUGCCUACAGUAUUUCCCUGAGAAUGGACAACAUUAGCCUGUAUAGGAACACUCGCC